rnacentral:rRNA from 1 species
AUGCAUUAUUUGAUAAAAUGUGGACCUGAAAAUUUUAGGCAAAACUAUAUACAUAGACACGUUAGAAGACACCAUGCACACUGUUUUAUGCCCUCUUCGUUUCCUACACUGAAAAUUUGCGGCAAAACAAUGCACACUGUCUUUUCGUACAACAUUUCACAGUCGCAGGUUCAUAGUUGCCAGACAAGUGCAUUCAUAAAGCUUCUCAGGAAUUCAAAAAUUUCCAUGUACACUUUUGAUUUUUGGGAGCACCGGGCUGCCCAAAACGCGCGUCAUCGUCCUCCUCUAUCCGAAGAGAUUCAUAGGGCACCGAGAAAGGGAAGCCAUGGUCGACUUGUUGGGCUCAAGUUUGCCACACACACACAAAAAAAGGUCGAUCAGAUUGCUACCAUGAAGAGCAGAUUAUGCCUGAAUUGUUCGGACGAAAUGUAA